UGUGGAAACUCUGCAAACUUCCGGGGCUGGGUCUCUGUGGAGCUCCUCACCCUGGGAGACAGGGGCCCCUCCACCAGCUGCUGUGGGAAUGCCACAUCUGGUAUUCCUGCAGCCACUUCCUCUCCAGGGAGAAGGUUGGUCUCCACCCUGUGCGGUUGCAUAAAAUGAUGCUGGGCUCCUGGGAGCAAGCGGCUGGGAGCUGCUAACAUCCUCCAGGCUCCUGCAGGGCUGGAGGCUCUGCUCAGCUGAUUAAACAUUCCUCAUCUAGGAAGACAUUUAAAGGGACCAUCAUGUGGCAUGGCCAGGCUUUCCGUAGCUGAACAUUGUAUUUCCUAAGGCGGAAAGCACAGUUUUUGUUUUUGUUUUAAAUGCAGCUAAGUAGGCUGGAAAUUGGCCUUCAAAGCUGGGAGCCUCAACCUGCCUUGUGGAAGAAGCCCACCCUGUCCACUCUAGGUAUAAGGGUCCCCUUGAGUGAGCCAGGAUUCUUUUAAGUUGCAAGUGACUGAGAAGACACUCUGUAGAUAAUGGAAACCACAUCCUUGGUCUCACAAGUCAUCAAGAAGUUCUAAUGGGUUACGUGCUUCUUUAAGCAACAAGGGUGACCUUUGAACCUAAGGUCUUUUUGACUUGUUGCUCCAUCAUCUUCAACAUUUGGCUUCCAAAGUUACAGAGGGCAUGAGAACCCACCUCGGAACAGGAAGAGUCUGGAGAAAGACAGCUGGAAGUUCACUUGGGCCUGCUCUGGAAAUGACCAUCUCCUAACAUUCUGUUCACAUUGCUUUGGCUGCAACUCUGUCUUGGGGCCACAUCUUACUUCAAGGGAGCCUAAGACAUGCAGUUGGCUGUGUGUCCAGGAAGAAGAAAAGGGAUUGUUGUCUCAGCAGACAGCCUAGCUCGGGCACUUUCCCCAGCUUUGGUUUCUGUGGUUUCUUUUCCUUUCAUUGGUUCUUCAGGAAUGCCUUGCCCAUCCUCCUAUGUAAUCUCAGCAGAGCGUAGACUCUCCUUGGAGAGACUUUGUCCCACAUUUUUUUUUUUUUGUACCAGGGAUUAAACCCAGGGUUGCUUAACCACUGAGCCACAUCCCCAGUCCUUUUCAUUUUUAUUAUUUUGAGACAGGGUCUUGCUAAGUUGCUCAGGGCCUUGCUAAAUUGGCUGGCUUUGAACUUGUAAUCCUCCUGCAUCAGCCUCCUGAGUUGCUGGGAUUACAGGUGUGUACCACUAUGCCCAACUGCUACCUCUUUGUGUCUCCUGCUCCAGGUUCAUUUUCUGUGGCAAAGCUUUCUCUGUCCUUUGAAACCUGCUUUGAUGGGAUCCUGAUUUCUUCUUUUCAAGCUUCUCUCGUUACAUAGAUCUUGUAUCUCCAGCAGAACAACCAACCUCCCUCUCCUCACUUCAGCCUGUCAGUGCUCAACUCUCCUCCUUCCUCUUUCCCCUGUCACCUGCCUCUAAGCAAGAAGCUCUGGGUCUGACCUUAACACUCUGUGUAUUUUAUGCUUCAUUCAUACCCAAUUGAGUUGCUUCUUUCCCCCCAUCUCCCAGUGCCUUUCUCAAACUCUGGUUAUCUCCUCAUUCAGACUUUGGGUUCCCCAGGGUUCUAAACAGACUCUUAAUUCUACAGACAGAAUAUAAGCUUCUGCUAAUCAACCCCCAAACCCCAUACAGAUGACUCCCUCCAGCUCUCCAUCUUCACCCACCAUGUAGGGAAUGGUUUGCAUAAACCUUUUUGAAUUGACAGAGCAAUUUUGGACAUUAUCAUAUUAAUCCCCUAAAUGAUCAGAAAGAGGCAUCAUUAAUGCCGUUUUGCCCAUCAGAAAAUAGAUCCAGGGAGCUAAGUGACUUUCCCAAGGCCUCAGAGUAUAUAUAGAAUAAAGAGUUCAGCUCAGAGUCUAUCACUCUAUUGAGUUUGUUAGAACUCUCAAUGUUUUCUCCCCAACCACAUGUUGCAAGUGUUUUUUUUUUUUCUUGCUGUGUCCUUUUCCCCAUUGCUCAAGUCUCUUACCUCUUCUGCUGUCUCUGAUCAAAAACAUAGAACUCCUUCAUGCCCUGCCUUUAUAUAUAAAACUCAAGACUGCAGAUCGGAAUGGAAUGCCCCAGAAGGAGCCUGUAUAGUACUGCUGGAAGUCUGAAAUGAUGGAAGAAGUUAUGGGCUGGGGAAAUUUUUUAAAUUUCUUACUCUACGACAGAAAAGGUGAUAUAUGUGCAUU